rnacentral:rRNA from 1 species
UACGGAGGGGGCUAGCGUUGUUCGGAAUUACUGGGCGUAAAGCGCACGUAGGCGGACUUGUAAGUCAGGGGUGAAAUCCCGAGGCUCAACCUCGGAACUGCCUUUGAUACUGCAAGUCUCGAGUCCGGAAGAGGUGAGUGGAAUUCCCAGUGUAGAGGUGAAAUUCGUAGAUAUUGGGAAGAACACCGGUGGCGAAGGCGGCUCACUGGCUCAUUACUGACGCUCAGGCGCGACAGCGUGGGGAUCAAACAGG